GCAACUCGCCUGCACGAAGUUGGAAUUGCUAGUAAUGGCAGGUCAGCAUACUGCCGUGAAUACGUUCCCGGGUCUUGUACACACCGCCCGUCACACCAUGGGAGCCGGUAAUACCCGAAGUCAGUAGUCUAACCGCAAGGAGGACGCUGCCGAAGGUAGGAUUGGCGACUGGGGUGAAGUCGUAACAAGGUACC
rnacentral:rRNA from 1 species